GGGCAACGGGCGGGGUGCCUAUACAUGCAAGUCGAACGCGGUUGGCCCAAUUGAUUGAUGGUGCUUGCACCUGAUUGAUUUUGGUCGCCAACGAGUGGCGGACGGGUGAGUAACACGUAGGUAACCUGCCCAGAAGCGGGGGACAACAUUUGGAAACAGAUGCUAAUACCGCAUAACAGCGUUGUUCGCAUGAACAACGCUUAAAAGAUGGCUUCUCGCUAUCACUUCUGGAUGGACCUGCGGUGCAUUAGCUUGUUGGUGGGGUAACGGCCUACCAAGGCGAUGAUGCAUAGCCGAGUUGAGAGACUGAUCGGCCACAAUGGGACUGAGACACGGCCCAUACUCCUACGGGAGGCAGCAGUAGGGAAUCUUCCACAAUGGGCGCAAGCCUGAUGGAGCAACACCGCGUGAGUGAAGAAGGGUUUCGGCUCGUAAAGCUCUGUUGUUAAAGAAGAACACGUAUGAGAGUAACUGUUCAUACGUUGACGGUAUUUAACCAGAAAGUCACGGCUAACUACGUGCCAGCAGCCGCGGUAAUACGUAGGUGGCAAGCGUUAUCCGGAUUUAUUGGGCGUAAAGAGAGUGCAGGCGGUUUUCUAAGUCUGAUGUGAAAGCCUUCGGCUUAACCGGAGAAGUGCAUCGGAAACUGGAUAACUUGAGUGCAGAAGAGGGUAGUGGAACUCCAUGUGUAGCGGUGGAAUGCGUAGAUAUAUGGAAGAACACCAGUGGCGAAGGCGGCUACCUGGUCUGCAACUGACGCUGAGACUCGAAAGCAUGGGUAGCGAACAGGAUUAGAUACCCUGGUAGUCCAUGCCGUAAACGAUGAGUGCUAGGUGUUGGAGGGUUUCCGCCCUUCAGUGCCGGAGCUAACGCAUUAAGCACUCCGCCUGGGGAGUACGACCGCAAGGUUGAAACUCAAAGGAAUUGACGGGGGCCCGCACAAGCGGUGGAGCAUGUGGUUUAAUUCGAAGCUACGCGAAGAACCUUACCAGGUCUUGACAUCUUGCGCCAACCCUAGAGAUAGGGCGUUUCCUUCGGGAACGCAAUGACAGGUGGUGCAUGGUCGUCGUCAGCUCGUGUCGUGAGAUGUUGGGUUAAGUCCCGCAACGAGCGCAACCCUUGUUACUAGUUGCCAGCAUUAAGUUGGGCACUCUAGUGAGACUGCCGGUGACAAACCGGAGGAAGGUGGGGACGACGUCAGAUCAUCAUGCCCCUUAUGACCUGGGCUACACACGUGCUACAAUGGACGGUACAACGAGUCGCGAACUCGCGAGGGCAAGCAAAUCUCUUAAAACCGUUCUCAGUUCGGACUGCAGGCUGCAACUCGCCUGCACGAAGUCGGAAUCGCUAGUAAUCGCGGAUCAGCAUGCCGCGGUGAAUACGUUCCCGGGCCUUGUACACACCGCCCGUCACACCAUGAGAGUUUGUAACACCCAAAGUCGGUGGGGUAACCUUUUAGGAGCCAGCCGCCUAAGGUGGAACCAGGAAUUGGU
rnacentral:rRNA from 1 species